GUUCGGAAAGGAUAAGGGGGAGGUGAUUCUAUGGAUCUAUGUAACGAAGCGCAAUGUGAUGUCAGGUUCGUUUUGCUUACGAGACGCCCUUCCUAUGCCGCUUGGGAUCCGUUGCCUGACUGGUGAUUGAUUUUACUGUGAGGGAAAAUUCUAGAGGCUGGGGGGAAGAGCUAAGGAAUCAUGAGAAACAAGGUUGGGGAGCAGGAGAGGAGACGAGGAAACAAGAGCAGAUUUAUGCACUGGAAAGCACUCAGGUUGGUUCUUGAGAUGAAGACCAGAGACUCAUGUCCCCUACAAGGGAUUCCAGGUUUUAGGAGGAUAUAUACCGUGUAGCAGAUAUGGUCUCUUAUGGAGACAAGAAGAGAUGUGGAACCCCCAUGGGGAAAAGGAAGACAUAUACUGCCUGGGCGUGAAUUACAUACGCAGAAGGUAAAAUUGUGAUGGAAUCCCAGAUUUCCUGUGAUUGAUGAUGAUUCUUUUUUUUUGUUUUGUUUGUGGUAACAAGGAUUCUCUUUCCUUUGCCCUGAUUUAAAUUCACUUGUGACAUAUGAAGAAGGGUUCUGCUCAUGAAUUACAAAGAAUGUUUUAAGCUAGAGCUUGUUGCAGAAACAUUGGAAAAUAAGCUACCAUAUGUAGGGUAAAUGGUAAAUGGACUGCAUUUAUAUAGCGCUUUUAUCCAAAGUGCUUUACAAUUGAUGCCUCUCAUUUGCCAGAGCAGUUAGGGGUUAGGUGUCUUGCUCAAGGACACAUCGACAUGCCCAGGGCGGGGCUCGAACCGGCAACCCUCCGACUACCAGACAAUCGGUCUUACCUCCUGAGCUAUGUCGCCCCAUGGGUGCAAAUGUUAAAAUGAAAAGAGACAUAUAUGGUUAUCAGUUACAUACUGUAAGUAUGUACAGUACUGUAUGCUAUCUUGACUAUGUCACAUUUGAAAUAUAAAGUAAAAAUAAUUUUUUUAUGAAAUAAAAAGUUAACUCUCGUAUAAAAGGUUUUUUAAAGUAUUACAGUAUUAGGUUUUUUGUAUUACAUUGCAUCAAUAUUGCAUUGAUGUCUUGUUCAAAGCAUUCUUUCUAUUCACCCAUUGCAGGGUUUGUUAUGAUGAACCUCUUAACUACUCAUUGUAAACUGUGUUUGUGCUCUGUUCUGUUCACCAUUUCAUGUUGUUUUAUUUUCCUUUUGUGCCAUUAAAUCUGAUUCCUAUUUGUAGUGCCUUCUGUCCUCUAUAUUGCGGUCUUGCACAUAUGAUCGAUGUCGAACACUCAAUGUUUGUAUCAUUCUUCAGAUGUGAUGCUGUUUUAUAGAUGGAAUUUAAGAGUGGAAAGGAACCCUGUGUCUCUUGAAGUCACUGGAGUGUGCAGCAGCGGAUUGUGUCUUCUGUGGUACCUCCAUCAAGUCGAUCAGCUCCACUAUAAAUCCUCAUUCCUCAAUGGCAGUGAUGAAUGCACCAAUAAAUUCAUGUAGCAGCUGUCUAGUUCUUUAGCCCAGGUAAAAUCAUGGUCAUAAAAAAAAAACACCCUGGUCUGUGGUCUGGCAUGUGACUUCAUAGUGUCAUGACUGAGCACUUCGAUGUCCCUGCUGUAAAUCCAACAGAGCACCAGUCGUAAAAAAGAAACCAUUUUUACAUAGCCUAUACAUCAUGUCACACACAAUGAGAAUUCAGGGUGACCAAAUGAAACAGUUGUGUUGGAUCAUGAGAGGAUCAUAUUAAUUUAAUGCUCCAGUGACUUAGGACAAUUU